rfam:Danio rerio chromosome 4, GRCz11 reference primary assembly.
ACCGGCAGCUAGCUCUCUGCAACUCUCACAUGGUCGCCCACUAAGCAGGGCUGCGCCCGGUCAGUACCUGGAUGGGAGACCACAUGGGAAAGCUGGGUUGCUGCCGGAG